ensembl:snoRNA
CGGUUCAUCCUAAUCCCUGCUGGUCAGCCUGUGGCCUGCCAGGUUUCGCUUGUGGACCAGAGCACCUUAGAAGCCUCACCCUGAGCAGUGAGCACAGCUUUAGUGGGCUUGCAUCAGGGCGCUUCUAGACACUG